UCGGGAAUUUUGGGCAAUGGGCGAAAGCCUGACCCAGCAACGCCGCGUGAGGGAUGAAGUAUUUCGGUAUAUAAACCUCGAAAGAAUGGGAAGAAUAAAUGACGGUACCAUUUAUAAGCUCCGGCUAACUACGUGCCAGCAGCCGCGGUAAUACGUAGGGAGCAAGCGUUGUUCGGAUUUACUGGGCGUAAAGGGCGCGUAGGCGGCGCGGUAAGUCACUUGUGAAAUCUCUGAGCUUAACUCAGAACGGCCAAGUGAUACUGCUGUGCUAGAGUGCGGAAGAGGCAACCGGAAUUCUUGGUGUAGCGGUGAAAUGCGUAGAUAUCAAGAGGAACACCUGAGGCGAAGGCGGGUUGCUGGGCCGACACUGACGCUGAUGCGCGAAAGCCAGGGGAGCAAACG
rnacentral:rRNA from 1 species